UCCCGAUUCCAGACCCCUGCCCUGACUUCCUUUGAUGACGACUGUGAUGUGGGACUGUGAGCUGAAACAAACCCUCAACUCUCUGCGUUGCUUUGGGUCAUGGCGUUCAACUACUGCAAUGGAAACCUAAGACACUUGCGCUGGCAGAAUUAUCCAGAACCUUGGUUUGACUUCUACGACAAGAGAGUCUGUCACCAUCAGUGGGAUCCAUGCUUGCUUGUGUAUUUAUGGACUGCCUGUCCUCCUCACUCUUCACCUUGUGCCACGCCCAGCAACUCUGGAGAUCCCUCCCCAGCUACAGCCAGCAGAGUCAACCUGGCCAAGCUGGGAAUCUGGUUUUAGGCAAUGCCUGCCUCAACUCAAGGUUCCCAUUUCUGGUACCUCUCUACUGUUAUCACGACAAACUUGUGUUUGCCUAGAUCCUGUUCCUGAGUGGCCCUGGCUGGCAUUGCCUUUUCUUCCCCACUGGGAUGUGGCCUGCUUGGAAUUUCAUGUUAUGCCUGCGUGACGGAGGAGACAUGCAUUAAAACCGUGCACUGCCAACACCUCCUCUUGUCUAUAAGAAGAGUUGGAGCUUUGCACCAUGUGCUCGCUAGAGCACCUUUGUUACAUUAGGCAGGGUCAUUGGCAGUGAGGAGAAAUAAAAUGCUGAGAGGAGUCCAAAAGGCUCUUCCCAACACAGAAAGAGGGUGGUGCUUAGAAGGGAAAGGUACAGGAAGCUUGAGAAGGGGAUGAAGUGAUGGGUUAGAGGAGGAAACAGGGAUGAGCUAGCUACACCGUUUUUUUUUUUUUUUUUUUUUUUUGGUUGGUGCACACCUGCAAUCUCAGAACUCAGGAGGCUGGGGCAGGAGGAUUACCACGAGUUCAAUGCCUGCCUGGGUACAGCUGGCCGCUCCAUGAUCGUUCAGGAAAUUCUCUUCUAACUAAUUGACUGGUUGAGGAAGAAUUGAUGGAUUGAGAUAGUGUCUCACUGUGGAGCCCAGGGUGGCCUCAAGCAAACCUUUCCUUCUCUUUUUCCCUCUCCAUGCUUCUCCUGUCCAUCCUGCUCUUUCCGAGAUUACAGGCCACUGCAGCCAUGUCUGGCUGGUUAAAACAGAUUUAACUAUAGUGAGAUAAUACAAACGCAUCUAUUAUAAGUAAAACGCCUUCUGUGUGGUGGUGCUAUACCUCAGUGGUAAAAUGUUUAUUUAGAAUACGCAGGGUUUGAUAGCCAUGGAGGGGCAUGGGAUAUUAAAAAAAAACUGUUUUUCAGCGAGAGAUAGAACAAUCAGUCCAGCCUAUAUAUAAUUCUAGACCAGCCUCAGGACACAGUAAGACCCUGUUUCAAACAGCAAAACCCAAAAUACCAACCAAAGGCCAAGCAGACUGCUCAGUGGGUAAAGUCCUGGUGGAGUGACCCUCAUGACCUGCAUUCUAGCCCCAGAGCCCCGGGAAAGGUGGAGGAGAGCACCCACUGCACAAAGCUGACCUCUGACCUCCACACAUGUGCCAUGGCACGUUAGUGUCUACACACACAUCCACACAUCCAGCACAGUAAUAUAAAGGCGAAACCGAACCAAAGCUGGGGACAUGGCUCCCCUACUAGAGGACUUGCCUUGCAAGCAGUAAGCCCUGGGAUUGGUCGAGAGAAACCCCAUACACCAUGCAGUGGCUCCAAGCUGUGGUCUCCGCACUCAGGAGGUGGAGGCAGGAGGAUCAGAAGUUCAAGGCCACUCUCAGCUACAAACAAGUUUAAGGCCAGACUGUGAUCUACACUAGUCCUUGUCUCAAAAAACAAAACAAAUCAAAACAAACCAAGAGACCGUCCUAGGUAAAGUGAGUUUGUGUUAUGUUAGUGGAAGCCUUUCCUAACUUUGCCCUUGGACCGGUGGCUUAAUUGGCAGAUUUGGGGCUCUUCCCCAAUAGGGCUUCAGACCACUGAGUCUUACUUAUCAGUACGAUGUUGGGAAACUUCUGAUUCUCACAUCAAACUGCAACCCAGCCCUGUCAGGGAUAAACAGUGUUCUGGCGUCUCCUUCCAUUCCUCUGUCUUGUUUGGCUUUGUUUAGAACUCUGAGGAGGGGUGUAAUUAGUUCCCUGGGCACCCUGUCAGCGUUCCAGUGUUUGGUGCAUUGGUCAGAAAAUUGAUAAGUAAGAAAUAAACACAAUUAGGGAGAAGCAAGAGGAUAAACACAGAGAGACCAAGGGUUCUGGAGAGGCCAGAAAUUGGCCUUGGUCCUGGUGCCUUCCCUUUCAUGUGAGGGGUAUUUAUCUCAGGCUGGCAGUUUGUAUAGGCUUAUCUUGGGCCAGGUAGGUUUUUAUGAUGGUGCUGUCAGCUUGUGACAGCUGUGGCCUGGGGAAAAGACCUUGGAGGACCUUGGCAAGGGCAGUGGGAUCCUGCUAGGGCCUUAGCAGGGGUUAGCAGGGUUGGGGGAAGCCUUAUAAUCUAUUCCAGCUUGGACAGGGGUUUAAUUAUGGGGGGCGUCUUUUCAUGUGUUGCCUUUUUAGAUAUUAGGGAGAAGGAAACUUGCUGGAGUUUUUGUUGUUUGUUUAACUGUGGGACAGUUUGGCUCUUCAUGGACCACAGAGCAAUCACAAGAAUUCACUUUCAAUGAGCAAGUGCUAGGUCCAGAUAAGUAAACACACAGCCCUCAUUUUAAAUUUUCUUUUAUGUUGUCUUGAGUUACCCUCAAGGACAGAAGAGUGGGGGUGGAUGGAUUGAAUUCGAAUUCACAAGGCUCAAGAAUCAACUGCCCUGGGAGCUGGGAAGAUGUUUCCGUGGGAAAGCUGUACAAUUGUGGAGACCAGAGUUUGAAUCUCAAGCACCUGCUUAAAAAGCUAGGCACAUCUGUAACCCCACGGCAGUGUGUGGGGCUCGCAGGCACAGGAAUAACAACCCUCAAGACAACUGUGGAGGCCUUGCCAGGCAGAGUUCACACGGGUUGUGGCAGUGUGGUACUGGCUCCCAGGGUUCGGCAGGAGCAUGGGAAUGAAGAGGUGGAGAAGAGCAUCCCCUCAGAUGAGGUGUGUUGCUGGAGGAUGCUGCCGUUGGACAUUUCUGAACUUGGCAAGAAGACCUUCUGUCACAGACUCUAAUGGAUCUCUCUCAGAGAAGCAUGCACAGUGCCACAGUCCUGAAAUUAACUCAUUGGUUAGCGUAUCUCCAUGAACUGGAAUUGCACUCACAGGUAAUACUUUCAGGAUGCCGGUCAGCCAGCGUCUUGGUGAGUUCACAAUUUUUGCAACUGACUUUGACAGUUUGAUAUUGAUUCUGUGGGUGUACCCCAGGCUGGUCUCAGAUUUUACAGAAAUUCUUCUGCUUUUCCUCCCCUAGCUGUAGAUGGAAGUUUCUGUCCUGCCUAGUCCUGCAGCCAUUUAGUCCCAAAUAAACACACAGAAGCUUGUAUUAAUUAUAAACUGUUUGGCCAUUGGCUCAGGCUUCUUAUUUGCUAGCUCUCUCUUAAUUAUUAGCCCGUUAUCUAUUCAUCUGUGUAUCUCCACGUGUCUUAACUUACCAGUGAUACCCGGGGCCUCUUGCUUCCUUGGCAGUUACAUGGCGUCUCCUUUUGUAUGCUGUGAAUAUAUGUUUCUCUUAUUGGUUGAUAAAUAAAGCUGUUUCAGCCAAUGGAGAGGCAGGAUUUAGUCAGACGGGAAAUCCAAAGAGGGAUAAAGAACGGUAGUAGGUAGAGUCAGGGAGAUACCAAGUAGCUGCCAAGGAAGCAAGAGACCUAAGCAUCACAGGUAAGCCAAGACCACAUGGAGAUAUACAGAUUAAUAGAAAUGGUUAAUAAUUAAGAGAGAGCUGACCAAUAAGAAGCCUGAGCCAUCAGCCAAACAGUUUAUAAUUAAUAUAUGCCUCUGUGUUUUUAUUUGGGACUAAACAAAUUAUCUGUCUACACCUAGCUCUUGGAUUGCAGGAGUAAACUUCUAAGCUAGGCCCCUUGAAUCUGUGUAUGUGAUUUAAAAGAAAAUUUUAAGGUUGAGUUACACUCUAACAUUUUAUUUAUUCGUGUGUGUGUGUGUGUGUGUGUGUGUGUGUGUGUACGUGCAUGUGUAUGUGUGCAUGUAGGGGGGGUGGUAUAUGUGCCUUUGCAUGCAUGGGUCUCUUAGAUCUGGAGUUACCACUUGCUAUGUGAGUCCUGGGAUCCAAACUCCAGUCCUUGUGAUCAUGCAGCAAAUGCUCUAAACUGUUGAACCAUUGCCCCAUGUCGCCUGCAUACAUGGUUUUGCUUGAGCUCCUUCCUAGGAAUUGUUUCUCUGUUUUAGGAAGGAUCUCACGAUGUAUUCCUGGCUAGUUUGGAACUUAAUAUGUAGAUCAUGUUAGCAUGGAACUUACAGAGAUCUGCUUGCCUCUGCCUUCAGAAUGCUGAUGUUAAAGGUAUGCACCACCCACCAUUCCUAUACUUAAAAUUUUUAAACAAUCAUAUUUAUUUAUAUUUAUUUGUGUUCCUUCAUAUGUAGGGGCACUCAUGUGCUAAACUGUGUGUGUGUGUGUGUGUGUGUGUGUGUGUGUGUGUGUGUGUGUGUGUAGAUCAGAGGCCAUCUUGCAGGUGUGAGUUAUCUCCUUCCACUAUAAGUGUCCAGGCUUAGUAACAUGUACCUUUACUUAAUCCACUGAGACAUCUCACUGGUUCAAAUUUUUGAUAUUUUUUUCUUUAAAAAGUUUUGUCACUGUGUGUUCAUGUGGGUGCACACGCCAUUGACCACUUGUGUGGAGGACAACUUUGUGGAAUCAAAUCUCUCCUUCCACCUUUAUGUGAGUUCCAAGGAUGUGCCCUGCCUGUCGACAGAGUGGAGCCCAGGGGAGUCCUGAAUGCAUGAUCCCCCUGAAUGCAUGAUCCCCCUUCACGCCUUCAGCACAUCCUGCUAGUGUGUGCCACCAUAAUCAUGUCUUGCCUAUUACAGUCUUCCUAGGAACGUGAUACAAAUGACUAGUAUGUCUUCUACGUGGAGGCCUUUGCUUUCUUGCUUGAUGUAUCUGUGGUUAAAUCCUUAUACAGCCUUGAGAAUCAAAGCACCCCAGUGAACCCUCACAGCCACUACUUGUAGGGUUAAAAGCCUGAGCUCAAUCCCUGGGCUUGAAAACCCACCAAUCCCUGUGUUCACCCAAGCUCAGGACUUGAAAUCUCACCAAUCCCCACCCUGGAAAAUUCCACCCCCAAGAAGUCAUAUAUAAGCCUGCCUCUCACUCAGUUUCCCUGCAGAAUCUUGCCAGAGCAGAGGCAGCUACUUUCCUGUGUUUUCCCCAAUAAAUGUAUUUUGUGA